CCUACGGGGGGCAGCAGUGGGGAAUAUUGCACAAUGGAGGAAACUCUGAUGCAGCAACGCCGCGUGGAGGAUGACGCAUUUCGGUGUGUAAACUCCUUUUAUAAGGGAAGAUAAUGACGGUACCUUAUGAAUAAGCACCGGCUAACUCCGUGCCAGCAGCCGCGGUAAUACGGAGGGUGCAAGCGUUACUCGGAAUCACUGGGCGUAAAGGAUGCGUAGGCUGUAAUAUAAGUCAGGAGUGAAAUCCAACGGCUCAACCGUUGAACUGCUCUUGAAACUGUUUUACUAGAAUAUGGGAGAGGUAGAUGGAAUUGGUGGUGUAGGGGUAAAAUCCGUAGAUAUCACCAGGAAUACCGAUUGCGAAGGCGAUCUACUGGAACAUUAUUGACGCUGAGGCAUGAAAGCGUGGGGAGCAAACAGGCUUAGAUACCCCAGUAGUC
rnacentral:rRNA from 1 species